rnacentral:rRNA from 1 species
GACGAACGCUGGCGGCGUGCCUAAUACAUGCAAGUAGAACGCACAGUUUAUACCGUAGCUUGCUACACCAUAAACUGUGAGUUGCGAACGGGUGAGUAACGCGUAGGUAACCUGCCUGGUAGCGGGGGAUAACUAUUGGAAACGAUAGCUAAUACCGCAUAAUAUUAAUUAUUGCAUGAUAAUUGAUUGAAAGAUGCAAUUGCAUCACUACCAGAUGGACCUGCGUUGUAUUAGCUAGUAGGUGAGGUAACGGCUCACCUAGGCGACGAUACAUAACCGACCUGAGAGGGUGAUCGGCCACACUGGGACUGAGACACGGCCCAGACUCCUACGGGAGGCAGCAGUAGGGAAUCUUCGGCAAUGGACGAAAGUCUGACCGAGCAACGCCGCGUGAGUGAAGAAGGUUUUCGGAUCGUAAAGCUCUGUUGUAAGAGAAGAACGGGCGUGAGAGUGGAAAGUUCACACUGUGACGGUAUCUUACCAGAAAGGGACGGCUAACUACGUG